UACAGAGGUCUCAAGCGUUGUUCGGAUUCACUGGGUUUAAAGGGUGCGUAGGUGGGCUAGUAAGUCCGUGGUGAAAUCUCUGAGCUUAACUCGGAAACUGCCGUGGAUACUAUUAGUCUUGAAUGUUGUGGAGGUAAGCGGAAUAUGUCAUGUAGCGGUGAAAUGCUUAGAUAUGACAUAGAACACCGAUAGCGAAGGCAGCUUGCUACACAAUUAUUGACACUGAGGCACGAAAGCGUGGGGAUCAAACAGG
rnacentral:rRNA from 1 species